rnacentral:rRNA from 1 species
AACGAACGCUGGCGGCAGGCUUAACACAUGCAAGUCGAACGCCCCGCAAGGGGAGUGGCAGACGGGUGAGUAACACGUGGGAACGUGCCCUAAGGUUUGGAAUAUUCCCGGGAAACUGGGAGCAAUACCAAAUGUGACCGCAAGGUGAAAGAUUUAUCGCCUUAGGAUCGGCCCGCGUUGGAUUAGCUAGUUGGUGGGGUAAAAGCCUACCAAGGCGACGAUCCAUAGCUGGUCUGAGAGGACGACCAGCCACACUGGGACUGAGACACGGCCCAGACUCCUACGGGAGGCAGCAGUGGGGAAUCUUGGACAAUGGGCGCAAGCCUGAUCCAGCCAUGCCGCGUGAGUGAUGAAGGCCCUAGGGUUGUAAAACUCUUUCGUGGGGGACGAUAAUGACGGUACCCCAAGAAGAAGCUCCGGCUAACUUCGUGCCAGCAGCCGCGGUAAUACGAAGGGGGCUAGCGUUGUUCGGAUUUACUGGGCGUAAAGCGCGUGUAGGCGGGCUGGAAAGUUGGGGGUGAAAUCCCGAGGCUCAACCUCGGAACUGCCUCCAAAACUUCCAGCCUGGACUCAAGUAGAGGCAAGUGGAAUUGCGAGUGUAGAGGUGAAAUUCGUAGAUAUUCGCAGGAACACCAGUGGCGA